ACCUCUAUAGUAGCAGCUGACAAAGGUCUCCCCAAAUGAGCAUUUUUCUCCAACGUUCCCUCUAGCUGCAUCAGAUUCUCAACAUGCAACGCUUGCACACCAUCAUGGUUCUUGAUGGUCUCCUUUAGCUGAGCAUUUAUGUCCCUCAUCUCUUGAGCAUGUGCAAGUGCUUGGACCUUGGAGCAACUCCACAUUGAAAUUAAGCACUUAGAGAAAUGCCACAGCCACACGGCUUCUUGUCGCAGGGUGCGAGGACGAGCGCGCAGUCAGCUGUGUCACCUUGCCCCACACUCGAGCCAUGGCCGAACCAGCGCCUAAGCGGACGGGUUCCCCCAACGUGUGGUUGGCGUCGGUGGAUCCUGGAGGUGCGGAAAGGCCACGCGAGGCGCUUCCUGGACGGCGUACUCCACCACGUGGAUGUUGCCGGCGGCUCCUGGAAGCGCGGAGAGGCCGAGCGAGGUGCUUCAUUGACGGCUUCCUCCACCACUUGGGUGGAGCCGGUGAUCCCGGAGGCGCUUCCUCGGCGGCUUCUUCUACCACGUGGGCAGCAACGGUGGAUCUCGGAGGCGCGCAGAGGCCCCGUGAGACAAUUCCUCGAGAGCAAAAUGCACCCGAGGUCCCUAUUUUUUCGCGAAGGUGUCAAGUAGGUACCUAAUCUUUGAAAAUGCAUGUUUAGGUACUCAUUAUUUGUUAAGUGGUUCAUCACAGGUCUCUCACCUGUAUGCACAGCUGCGGCUGCAUGACGUGGCUGCCACAUAGCCUUUGGGCCCACACGUCAGGCGACGACGUGCCGUUGCAAUCUUACAGCCCCCCCCCCCACCACCACCACCACCACCUAUUCUCCUCUGAUUUCAUGGCCCUCUCUCCUUCUCCUCACCUAACUGGCGUUCGAUGAGGCGGCGCGCUAGCGGCGGAGGGGGCUGUAAGAUUGCAACGCCACGUCGUCGCUUGGCGUGUGGGCCCAAAACCUAGGUAGCAGCCACGUCAUGCGGCCGGAGCUGUACAUACAUGCGAGGGACCUGAGAUGAAUCACUUAACAAACAAUGAGGACCUAAACGUGCAUUUUCAAAAAUUAGGAACCUACUUGACACCUUUGCGAAAGAAUAGGAACCUUGGGUGCAUUUUACUUCCUCGACGGCUUGGGGACUGGGGAGAAACGCUGUGCAGGGUUGUAGACUGCGGGUUGAUUAUGUAUAAACGGAAGGGAUAAAAUGCAAACUUAGACUGACGAACGACGAAGAAGAAAACACUCCUCCUUUUAUUACUACUAGACAUAGACAUGAUGGUGCGUUCCGCCGCGCCGUUGAAUGAAGUCGUAUUAUUAUUUGGUUGUCAAAAAAGAAAAGU